AUUGAACGCUGGCGGCAUGCCUUACACAUGCAAGUCGAACGGCAGCACGGGGCAACCUGGUGGCGAGUGGCGAACGAGUGAGUAAUGCAUCGGAACGUACCUUUCAGUGGGGGAUAACGUAGCGAAAGUUACGCUAAUAACGCAUAUUCUGUGAGCAGGAAAGCAGGGGAUCGCAAGACCUUGCGCUGAUUGAGCGGCCGAUGUCAGAUUAGCUAGUUGGUGAGAUAAAGGCUCACCAAGGCGACGAUCUGUAGCGGGUCUGAGAGGAUGAUCCGCCACACGGGAAGUGAGACACGGUCCAGACUCCUACGGGAGGCAACAGUGGGGAAUUUUGGACAAUGGAGGCAACCCUGAUCCAGCCAUGCCGCGUGAGUGAAGAAGGCCGUCGGGUUGUAAAGCUCUUUCGGCCGGGAAGAAAUCGCACGGGCUAAUACCCUGUGUGGAUGACGGUACCGGAAUAAGAAGCACCGGCUAACUACGUGCCAGCCGCCGCCGUAAUAC
rnacentral:rRNA from 1 species